rnacentral:lncRNA from 10 species
GAAAGCGCAGCCUCGCGCCCCUGCGCGCGGCCGCUCCGCCCUCACCUGAGCCUGAGGUUGGCCAUGAACUCGGGCAUGGAGACGGUGUCCAUCAGCACGAAGUCUGCCUUGCCGAAUUCCAGGCUCUCCUGCUCCGCCAUGGCGCCAGCGCGGGGGCUCAGGAUUAUUGCGGAUGUCUUGAGCAUGGGACCAUUCUUUUUGCAUCCACCAAAUAACUAUUGUACUACUUUGCAUAUAUAAAUAUGAAAUCCAUACUGGUUCAGUGGAAUGAAGUGAGUUGUAAGUAGUCUCCAAUUUAUUGAUACAUUGGUUGAGCUUGGAAAAUUCUUUUUGAACUCAAUGUAUUUUCCCAAAGAAAAUAUACUACAAAUGACUUUCUUUCUUUUUUUUUUUUUUUUCUUUUUCUGGAGACAAAUUCUCCCUCUGUCACCCAGGCUGGAGUGCAGUGGUGCAAUCACAGCUCACUGCAACCUCAAACUCCUGGGCUCAAGCAAUCCUCCAGCCUCAGCCUCCUGAGCAGCUGGGACUACAGGUGUAUGACACCAUGCCCAGCUAUUUUUUUUAAAUAAAUGACUUUCUAAGGUAUCUACAUUUAUUCAGUCCUGUGUUUCUGUUAGGACAUCUUCUAUUACAAAAUCUACGAGGAAAUCUAGAGGCCUCCAAGGACCUGGCUGGGCUUCAACUCUGGCUGAGUUUGAGAUGAGUAAACCAGACUGAAGGACCUUGCCCAAGGCCUGCUUCAGCUGCCAGCCACCCACACUUGCUAAGAGAAAGGAAAGGAGCUUUGUCACCUCCUGAGGGACUGCCUCUGCCAUCAGAAAACCACCCCAAUCCCUGGCACCAGCAGAGCUGGGUUGCAUCUGACUACCGUUAGCAGCUGUCCUUCAGAAGGAGGAGAUCCACCUGUCUCGAUAUCAGUGUCCUCAUUUGUGGAAUAAAAGCUCUGGAAUAAGGUAGGACUGUCCUAUGGUUGGGUCAUUUGUGGAGGUGUCGGUCAGUGGCUAAGUAGGUUAUUGCAUAGGGUAUGGUUGUAUUCCUAAUGUUUGUAUUGGCAUGUUUUAACAUAAGCAGAACUGAACUUCAAGAAGGAAAGAAAGAAAUCUCAAACUGUAUGCACUUUGGAGCAUCCAGGGACCACACCCCAAAACCUUUUGGUAAAUUAUAUAUGUGUGUUCCCUGAGCUCUGUAGGUGUUAAAAAUUAGGGCAAAAUCCCAGGUACCAGGAAAAGAAACAUCACGGCUUGCAGAUG